UACGUAGGGUGCGAGCGUUGUUCGGAAUUACUGGGCGUAACGCGCACGUAGGCGGAUUUGUAAGUCAGGGGUGAAAUCCCGAGGCUCAACCUCGGGUCUGCAGUCGAUACGAGCAAACUAGAGUGUUGCAGGGGAGACUGGAAUUCCUGGUGUAGCGGUGAAAUGCGCAGAUAUCAGGAGGAACACCGGUGGCGAAGGCGGGUCUCUGGGCAACAACUGACGCUGAGGAACGAAAGCCAGGGGAGCAAACGGG
rnacentral:rRNA from 1 species